rnacentral:rRNA from 1 species
UACGUAGGUCCCGAGCGUUGUCCGGAUUUAUUGGGCGUAAAGCGAGCGCAGGUGGUUUAUUAAGUCUGGUGUAAAAGGCAGUGGCUCAACCAUUGUAUGCAUUGGAAACUGGUAGACUUGAGUGCAGGAGAGGAGAGUGGAAUUCCAUGUGUAGCGGUGAAAUGCGUAGAUAUAUGGAGGAACACCGGUGGCGAAAGCGGCUCUCUGGCCUGUAACUGACGCUGAGGCGCGAAAGCGUGGGGAGCAAACAGG